AACGAACGCUGGCGGCAUGCCUAACACAUGCAAGUCGAACGAGACCUUCGGGUCUAGUGGCGCACGGGUGCGUAACGCGUGGGAACCUGCCCUUAGGUUCGGAAUAACUCCCCGAAAGGGGUGCUAAUACCGGAUAAUGUCUUCGGACCAAAGAUUUAUCGCCUUUGGAUGGGCCCGCGUUGGAUUAGCUAGUUGGUAGGGUAAAAGCCUACCAAGGCGACGAUCCAUAGCUGGUCUGAGAGGAUGAUCAGCAACACUGGGACUGAGACACGGCCCAGACUCCUACGGGAGGAAGAAGUGGGGAAUAUUGGACAAUGGGCGAAAGACUGAUCCAGCAAGGCCGCGUGAGUGAUGAAGGCCUUAGGGUUGUAAAGCUCGUUUACCCGGGAUGAUAAUGACAGUACCGGGAGAAUAAGCUCCGGCUAACUCCGUG
rnacentral:rRNA from 1 species